rnacentral:lncRNA from 1 species
GCUAGUUUUGCCUGAUGGAGUUGCUCAUUGAAGUACGUGUGAAAACAUGGGAACACUCACAGAGUAACAAUUGUACUAAAAAGUAAAGUUAUUAUUGUACUAAGAAAUAUUUAUUUGAGGGCCUACUCUAGGCCAGGCUCUUUUGUAGGUAAGCAUACAGAGAAAAUCCCCUGCCUUUGUAGAAACAUCAUUCUAGCUUGGAUUGGGGUGGGAGUGGGGGCAGACAAUACACAAUUAAGGCAGUAUGUUAGAAGGUAAGGAGUACUAUGAGUGGGAGGGAUAUGCAGAGAGGCCAAACUCUGAAAGUGUUAACUGUGCAGAAGGAUCAGAUGGAGAACCGAUAGCACUCAUGUCUGAGCUUCUGAAACUGCUGCAUGGAUAGGCAGGUAGGAGGUGUAGAGAGUCCUUGCAUACCCCUAUUCCCUAUUCCUGUAUUAGAAACAGAGGCCUGUAUUCCACUGAAAAAGAGUGGCAAUUAUUCCCCUUCUGGGGCAAGCAAAAUUGACCAACAGACUAAAUUGCCCUUACCGAUUGAGUGUCUGAAAGUCACAGCAUGUAAAUUAGCCAAAGGUGAAUAGGCGGAGGUGGGGCACAUCAAUGCCUGGAUAUUAAAUCAGCUCUAAGUGUAGAAAUGGGAAAAACAUAGUGAACUGGCACUCUAUAGAAGUUUUUAUUUUUACCUAGCAUUUUUAGUAAGAAGUAGAUUCAAACAUAAAUUAAUAAGAGCUCACACCCAUUUGCCACAGAAUUAUAAUAACCUCGGGAGGAAAAGAUUAUUAUCUCUAUUUUAGAGAUAUGCUAACUAAAGCAGAGACAAGUUAAGUGAUUUGCCCAAGGUCGUACCUCUAAUAGGUUGUGGAGCUGGGUUUUGAAUGCAGGCAAUAUGAUUUGAGAUCAUAUGCUCUUUUUUUUUAGGAAGAUUAGCCCUGAGCUAACUACUGCCAAUCCUCCUCUUUUUUCUGAGGAAGACUGGCCCUGAGCUAACAUCCAUGCCCAUCAUCCUCUACUUUAUGCGUGGGACGCCUACCACAGCAUGGCAUUUGCCAAGCGGUGCCACGUGCACACCCAGGAUCCGAACCAGCGAACCCUGGGCUGCCGAGAAGCAGAACGUGCAAACUUAACCGGUGCGCCACCGGGCCAGCCCCAGAGAUCAUAUGCUCUUAAACAGCAGACCAGACUGACUCUCCAUUGCAAAGGAACCAGGCAGGGAGGCAUUCUGAGACCAACUUAGCUGUUGUUUCUCUUCGAUGAGUCUUCAACUUUAUACUUAAGAAUCAAGCAUUUCGCUGGAAUAUGUCUGCAUUAAGUCAUGUUAUUUGAUUAGAUAAUGGAGGAAGCAACCUGCAGAAUUCCACAGGAGCUGUCACUAUGAAAGAACCAAAGACAAUAAUAUUGUUUAGAGGAGAAAAUUUUAAUUUUGGAACUGGACAUAUGCCAAGUGAACAAACCAGAAGACAGUCCUCAAAGGGUG